UACGGAAGGGGCAAGCGUUGUCCGGAAUCAUUGGGCGUAAAGCGCGUGUAGGCGGUCCGGUAAGUCGGUUGUGAAAGUCCAGGGCUCAACCCUGGGAUGCCGACCGAUACUGUCGGACUAGAGUUCGGAAGAGGCGAGUGGAAUUCCCGGUGUAGCGGUGAAAUGCGCAGAUAUCGGGAGGAACACCAAUGGCGAAGGCAGCUCGCUGGGACGUUACUGACGCUGAGACGCGAAAGCGUGGGGAGCAAACAGG
rnacentral:rRNA from 1 species